UGAGCAAUCUGCCCUUCUCAUCGGAAUAACCAUUGGAAACGAUGGCUAAUGCCGAAUAUGACCUCGGAUCACAUGUUCUGAGGUGGAAAGCUCCGGCGGAGAAGGAUGAGCUCGCGGCCUAUCAGCUAGUUGGUGUGGGUAACGCCCACAAGGCGACGACGGGUAGCCGGCCUGAGAGGGUGACCGGCCACACUGGGACUGAGACACGGCCCAGACUCUACGGGAG
rnacentral:rRNA from 1 species